rnacentral:rRNA from 1 species
AUGUCUACCUGCCUCACUGAUAUUAUUAAUGCCAAUGAUGUGGAUUUUAUUGGUCUUCAAGAGACUAUGAAAAAAUCUUAUAAUCCUUCCUUUUUUAGGAAGUUGGACCCUGGGGAAAAUUUUAAUUGGGAGUGGAUUCCUUCCAGGGGAAAAUCUGGAGGUAUUUUAGGUGGUAUCAAUAAAGACAAAUUCGAUCUUAUCAAUGUUAAACAUGGUAAAUAUGUCCUUCAAAUGGACUUUUUUGAUAAAGGUAAGAAAUGCAAUUGGGCCCUGCUAGUGGUGUAUGGAGCAGCUCAUGAUGAAAGUAAACCAGAAUUCAUUGCGGAACUAUCUAAUAUGUGCAAUAGUACCCACAUUCCUUAUUUGGUGGGAGGAGACUUCAAUAUCCUUAGGCACAGUGGAGACUAUAACAAAAAAACCAUGUCCCAUUUUCCUGAGGUGUUCAAUUCAGUCAUCCACCUGCUGGGGCUUAGAGAGAUUUGUAUGUCAGGAGGGUGUUAUACUUGGUCCAACAAGCAGGAAAAUCCUACCCUGGAGAAGUUGGAUAGGGUAUUAAUGUCAUAUGACUGAGAGGACUUGUAUCCUCUUGCUUCAGUUAGUAAGCUAGUGAGGGAGUUAUCAGACCAUAAUCCUUUGCUGUUGAAUGGGGGUCUGGCCUCCUCUAGAGCACUAGGUAAUAGGUGCUUUAAGUUCGAUAACAAUUGGCUUAAUAACCCAGAUAUUUUGCCUCUGGUUGCUGAAAUUUGGUCGAGACCU